GUCGAGCGAAUGACGAGAAGCUUGCUUCUCUGAUUUAGCGGCGGACGGGUGAGUAACACGUGGGCAACCUGCCCUACAGAUCGGGAUAACUCAGGGAAACCUGGGCUAAUACCGGAUAAUCCUUCGAAUCACAUGUUUUGAAGUUGAAAGGCGCUUCGGCGUCACUGUAGGAUGGGCCCGCGGUGCAUUAGCUAGUUGGUGGGGUAACGGCCUACCAAGGCAACGAUGCAUAGCCGACCUGAGAGGGUGAUCGGCCACAUUGGGACUGAGACACGGCCCAAACUCCUACGGGAGGCAGCAGUAGGGAAUCUUCCACAAUGGACGAAAGUCUGAUGGAGCAACGCCGCGUGAGUGAUGAAGGUUUUCGGAUCGUAAAACUCUGUUGUAAGGGAAGAACAAGUACGUUAGGAAAUGAACGUACCUUGACGGUACCUUAUUAGAAAGCCACGGCUAACUACGUGCCAGCAGCCGCGGUAAUACGUAGGUGGCAAGCGUUGUCCGGAUUUAUUGGGCGUAAAGCGCGCGCAGGUGGUUUCUUAAGUCUGAUGUGAAAGCCCACGGCUCAACCGUGGAGGGUCAUUGGAAACUGGGGAACUUGAGUGCAGAAGAGGAUAGUGGAAUUCCAAGUGUAGCGGUGAAAUGCGUAGAGAUUUGGAGGAACACCAGUGGCGAAGGCGACUGUCUGGUCUGUAACUGACACUGAGGCGCGAAAGCGUGGGGAGCAAACAGGAUUAGAUACCCUGGUAGUCCACGCCGUAAACGAUGAGUGCUAAGUGUUAGGGGGUUUCCGCCCCUUAGUGCUGCAGCUAACGCAUUAAGCACUCCGCCUGGGGAGUACGACCGCAAGGUUGAAACUCAAAGGAAUUGACGGGGGCCCGCACAAGCGGUGGAGCAUGUGGUUUAAUUCGAAGCAACGCGAAGAACCUUACCAGGUCUUGACAUCCCAAUGACCGUNCUAGAGAUAGGAUUUUCCCUUCGGGGACAUUGGUGACAGGUGGUGCAUGGUUGUCGUCAGCUCGUGUCGUGAGAUGUUGGGUUAAGUCCCGCAACGAGCGCAACCCUUAUUCUUAGUUGCCAUCAUUUAGUUGGGCACUCUAAGGAGACUGCCGGUGACAAACCGGAGGAAGGUGGGGAUGACGUCAAAUCAUCAUGCCCCUUAUGACCUGGGCUACACACGUGCUACAAUGGACGAUACAAAGAGUCGCAAACUCG
rnacentral:rRNA from 1 species